CUUUCAAGGAGCGAGGCUGCGGCCUCCCGGCGGGAGAGGACAGCAGUUCAGGAAGUGGGGUCCCUCUGUGACUAGGGCGCUUGAGGGCGGAAGAGAGCAUGGCCUGAGCUAGGCUGCAUGUCUGCACUGAGGUGCCCCCUCUGCUCCUUAAGCCCCAGCCCCUUGCUGCUCAGCCCACCAGUUUGCCCUCCUGGGUGCCCUGUGGGGAGAAGUGCCCCCUCCGCACGUUGUUCUGGACUAAUUGAUAAGCCAGAGGUGUAAAAGGCAGGCCCUGCCCCCCCACAGGCCUGGAGGUCAGGAGGGCAGAUCAGAGACAAGCGGAAGCCACCACACAGUCCAAGGCCCCCAAUGACUAGGCGAGGAGAGGGCUCAUAGGAGCGGACAUUCUUCCAACAAUGAGAGGACCCACUCCAGGGCGCUCCUCACUGCCUUGCCCUGGCUCCUCGGGUUGAGACGAAGAAAUUAAGGCCCAGGAGGGGAGGGGAGUCUGAAUGGAAGAGAGAGCCACGUCCAGUCCCCUUGCUGACCCCCACACCCACUUCCCCAGCAGCUGUGGCAGCUGAAGCGAAUUCUGAGACUGAUGAGCUCCAGUGUCUGGAGGUGAGCACAGUGUGAGCAGAAGUGGAAGUCCAUGUGGUGGAGAGCUAUGGGACUGCUCACGGCCCCAUCCAGCUUGCAGCUCAGCAGGAAUAAACGCUGACCAGCGAGGGAGCUUGAGGAGCCUGGUUCAGUAAGCAGCAAGGAGAAAGGUGGUGUCUCCAUAAAAAUGGGACAUGGCAUCUCUGAAGAGGGGAUGCCUGCCACAGCCCCCUCUGACCCACUGCCACUCUUCUCUAGCACUGAGACCGAGCAUUUUCUCCCCUCACCCUGAGUUUGGUGAUCAGUGAGAGGCCAGAGCGGCUCACCAUGCUGGCUUGCCAGGGACUGCACAUGGGCAAACUCAGUGAUACCAACAGCUGAGGAGGUCAGGGUCUUUGGUCCUGAGAUUUACCAGACAGAAGAGCAGCUCCUGACUGGGCAGCCUACCUGCUUCGAGCUGGGCACACCCAGGGCCUGCUGUGAACGGUGUCCCUGGUGAGUGGGCAUCCACACCCGCCCUCUUUAUAAGUCCCUCCUGACUCAGCUUCCCACAGGCAGGCUUUGUGACAGAGUCCUCGGCUUUCCUCUGUCUUUUUGAGCAAAACUGCCUUCCCUCUCUAGUCCGCUCAUCUCUGGACUCAGUGGGAUUGUGUGGUCCCAGGAUAAGCCGGGAACUUGGGCAUCAAGUGGGUGGGUGACGUGUGUCCUCUGGAGCACUCCACUGCAGACUCCUGAGCAAAGAAGUCGAUCCCCGCCAGCGGCUCUGUGCCAACCCUCUGAGCUCGCGGACCUCCAAGAAGGACCGGGACAGUCCAGCCCCUCUCCUCAGAGCACUGGCCCCCACGCCCCACGUUCUCGGGCCUCACACACCUGCUCUCUGCCUCCCGCCCCCAGCACAUGGCUGGCCCUGCCCCUCCUGGAGAACCUGUCCUCCCCUCCACCUGCCCAGGCCCUGGAGUCCCCACCUCCGGCUCUAGGUCACUGUUCUCUGGGCUCUACCUGGUGCUAUAGGUGGGACUGUAACAUCCUCUCCACGACGGGAGAGCUGGGUCAGGAGCAGCCCCACUCAGACGCACAUUCUAGGUCUCACUAGUUUUCUUCCAUCUUUUCAUUGGAAUAAAAGGUCAC